rnacentral:rRNA from 1 species
GACGAACGCUGGCGGCGUGCCUAAUACAUGCAAGUAGAACGCACAGUUUAUACCGUAGCUUGCUACACCAUAGACUGUGAGUUGCGAACGGGUGAGUAACGCGUAGGUAACCUGCCUGGUAGCGGGGGAUAACUAUUGGAAACGAUAGCUAAUACCGCAUAAUAUUAAUUAUUGCAUGAUAAUUAAUUGAAAGGUGCAAUUGCACCACUACCAGAUGGACCUGCGUUGUAUUAGCUAGUAGGAGAGGUAACGGCUCACCUAGGCGACGAUACAUAGCCGACCUGAGAGGGUGGUCGGCCACACUGGGACUGAGACACGGCCCAGACUCCUACGGGAGGCAGCAGUAGGGAAUCUUCGGCAAUGGACGAAAGUCUGACCGAGCAACGCCGCGGGAGUGGAGAAGGUUUUCGGAUCGUAAAGCUCUGUUGUAAGAGAAGAACGGGUGUGAGAGUGGAAAGUUCACACUGUGACGGUAUCUUACCAGAAAGGGACGGCUAACUACGUG